UACGUAGGAGGCGAGCGUUGUCCGGAGUUACUGGGCGUAAAGGGUGCGCAGGCGGCGGUUCGCGUGGAUAGAUGAAAUCUCCUGGCUUACCUGGGAGGAUGGUAUCCAGACGGGAUCGCUUGAGGGUCGGAGAGGGGCGUGGAAUUCCGGGUGGAGCGGUGAAAUGCGUAGAUAUCGGAAGGAACACCGGUGGCGAAGGCGGCUACCUGGACUCAUACUGACACUGAGGCACGAAAGCGUGGGGAGCAAACAGG
rnacentral:rRNA from 1 species